UGCGUAGGGGGCUAGCGUUGUCCGGAUUUACUGGGCGUAAAGAGCGUGUAGGCGGCCAAGCAGGUCCGUUGUGAAAACUGGAGGCUUAACCUCCAGACGUCGACGGAAACCGUCUGGCUAGAGUCCGGAAGAGGAGAGUGGAAUUCCUGGUGUAGCGGUGAAAUGCGCAGAUAUCGAGAGGAACACCUGCGGCGAAGGCGGGUUGCUGGGCUGACACUGACGCUGAUGCGCGAAAGCCAGGGGAGCGAACGGG
rnacentral:rRNA from 1 species